GUAGGUGAACCUGCGGAAGGAUCAUCAAAGAAUUUUUCAUUCUUUCUUACACACACCCCCUCUUUGUGGACAUUAUGCAGUUGGGCGUUGGUGGCGACGAGCGCGGGCGUUUUACACGCUCCGCGCCUCUGCGCCCCCUCCUCCCAACUUCACCCCCCUUUUAAAACAACAACCCCCCCUUUAACCUCCCUCUUUUAAAAACACACAAACACAAAAACAAAACCAAAAGACAACUUUUAACAACGGAUCUCUUGGCUCUC
rnacentral:misc_RNA from 1 species